GGGGAUGUGGUGGAAUGGUAGACAUAACAGACUUAAAAUCUGUUGAUUUUUUAAUAAUCGUGAGGGUUCAAGUCCCUCCAUCCCCA
rnacentral:tRNA from 6 species